UACGUAGGGCGCAAGCGUUGUCCGGAAUUAUUGGGCGUAAAGAGCUCGUAGGCGGUUUGUCGCGUCUGGUGUGAAAACCCGAGGCUCAACCUCGGGCUUGCAUCGGGUACGGGCAGACUAGAGUGCGGUAGGGGAGACUGGAAUUCCUGGUGUAGCGGUGGAAUGCGCAGAUAUCAGGAGGAACACCGAUGGCGAAGGCAGGUCUCUGGGCCGCAACUGACGCUGAGGAGCGAAAGCAUGGGGAGCGAACAGGAUUAGAAACCCUCGUAGUCC
rnacentral:rRNA from 1 species